rnacentral:lncRNA from 1 species
UUUUAUUGAUCUAAACACAAUUGUAUCUCUCAAAUUACCCUUAUUCCAUUGUCUGAAUGAUUGCAUGUGUUGAUCGAAAGGAAGCAUGAAUGUUUAUACUAAGUCUGAGGAGUGAAUAUCCAUGUUACAAAUUUGGUUAAAUUCUUUAUAUCAGCACUUUUUGUUUAUUUUAUUUCUAUCUUUUUAUUCAUCAAGUCAUAAUGCAUAUCAUAUUCAAACUUUUCUCUAUUCUUUCUCUUUCUCUUCAUGAAGUAUAGAAUGACAUGGAUGGUUGUGGAAUGUUCAAAUAGAAAUGGUCUGGUUUUGUCACCUUACCUAGUUGUUCUCUUUCUUGAUUCGGUCAUGGAAGAGUUUCCUUCUGCUAUAGAGGUAUAAUAUUCCCUCUGCAACUGUGUUUUCUAUUUUUUGGUAAUUAAGAAUCCCGAAUGGUGUUUUAGGGUCAACUUAGUACACCCCAACAGCUGCAUUACCUACCUGGUCAGUAGUCAUCAAUGUAACAAUUCUGGAUUCGUUUGCAGUAUUGGUUGAAUGCUUCAGGAUUGUGCUGCUUUUUAUACUUUCUAUUUACUCCUACCUACUUUCAGGAACCCAGACUUAAAAUAUUGCUCUAGCUGGUCAUUCUCACUGGUUUGGUUUAUGAAUAUAGCCAUAGGUUUUGGACCUGAAAUGUUGGAUAAAGUGCAAUCAGUGUAGGAGUGACAUCCAAUAGAGUUUAAGAGGAUGUAAAAGUAUUAAAAUCAUGAGACUAUUAAAACAAUCAGAUAAGUGAUAUAUUAACAACUUGCAUGAAGUAGUGACAAAAAUACAUUUUCUUAAUAUCAUGAAUCACAGGUUGUAUACUGUAACAGUUGUCAAUGUAUCAUUAUUGAAACAGCUAAGUUGAGUGAAGACUUGAAAUACCAUACUUGCUCGUAUUCUAGAAAGGCUCAACAUUAGUCUUGCUAUAUAUCAUACACAAUUAACCAACUAUCAGUCUACAACUUAAAGAACUUUUCCUUAUUUUAUAUUGGGGUUUUGUUAAAACUUUGUCCAACGUAGGUGUUGGAAGAAAACUACCAUCUUUAGUUUGUGAGAUGGGAAGAUUGAUGUAGUCAAGAAUAAACCGUCUUCUUCAAUUGUCUGACAUUCAUAUAUUCUGAAAUUGGAUUCAACGUGGUUUUGUUUAAAUACUUCUUCAACUUGUUUAGAAAAUCAUAUGUAGUUGGGAACAACUGGUAUAAACAAAAUAAUCUUUCAAAUUAACUUUGGUAGAAUCGACUACUAGCUGAACUGUCUAAGAAGUGAUAAUAGCAAGUCAUUUUUCCCUCCUUGUUCGAUUUAUAGAUAAUUCCCAUCGCUUACGAUACUUAUUAUGAUGUGGAAUAUAGUUUGUGAUGAGAGAAAAACUCAGACUAGGAGUCUGAAUCUACAUAUAAUGUAUUAAGUAGCUUGAGAACUGGAGAUCGUUGCAUCCCUUUUUUAUUAAUCUUUCUGGUAUAAAAAGGGAGAAGCAGUGUUCCAAAUAGAGUUGCUAAAUGAAAAGGAGAUAUUGUAUUAUCAAUAGAAUUGCACUUUUUGAAGCAAAGUUUUUGUUUGCUUUUGUAUGCUAUGGAAAAUUCGCAAGAACUUAACCGAAACUUGAUUUUAACUAUCCUAGUUUACCUCGAUGCAGAAGAAUAGAAAAGCUUGAUCCGAGCCUGAUCAGCAAAUGCAUAAUCAGCUAGACUUGCUAUCAUGAGUGGAGUUUGAUUCCCACUAAAAGGAUUGCCUAAAUUGAGGAAUAUGUCUCAAUGUCCUAUGUUGUAUUUACAUAGAGAUCCU